rnacentral:tRNA from 1 species
GCGGGUUUAGCUCAGUUGGGAGAGCGUCAGACUGAAGUCCACUUCAGCCCAUUCUAAAUCUGAAGGUCAUGUGUUCGAUCCACAUAAACCGCA